rnacentral:rRNA from 1 species
GACCGGCGCACGGGUGCGUAACGCGUAUGCAAUCUACCUUUUACAGAGGGAUAGCCCAGAGAAAUUUGGAUUAAUACCUCAUAGUAUAGUGAGUUGGCAUCAACACACUAUUUUAAAGUCACAACGGUAAAAGAUGAGCAUGCGUCCCAUUAAGCUAGUUGGUAAGGUAACGGCUUACCAAGGCAACGAUGGGUAGGGGUCCUGAGAGGGAGAUCCCCCCACACUGGUACUGAGACACGGACCAGACUCCUACGGGAGGCAGCAGUGAGGAAUAUUGGUCAAUGGGCGCAAGCCUGAACCAGCCAUGCCGCGUGCAGGAUGACGGUCCUAUGGAUUGUAAACUGCUUUUGCACAGGAAGAAACACUCGGUUCGUGACCGAGCUUGACGGUACUGUGAGAAUAAGGAUCGGCUAACUCCGUGCCAGCAGCCGCGGUAAUACGGAGGAUCCAAGCGUUAUCCGGAAUCAUUGGGUUUAAAGGGUCCGUAGGCGGCCAGAUAAGUCAGUGGUGAAAGCCCAUCGCUCAACGAUGGAACGGCCAUUGAUACUGUUUGGCUUGAAUUAUUUGGAAGUAACUAGAAUAUGUAGUGUAGCGGUGAAAUGCUUAGAGAUUACAUGGAAUACCAAUUGCGAAGGCAGGUUACUACAAAUUGAUUGACGCUGAUGGACGAAAGCGUGGGUAGCGAACAGGAUUAGAUACCCUGGUAGUCCACGCCGUAAACGAUGGAUACUAGCUGUUGGGAGCAAUCUCAGUGGCUAAGCGAAAGUGAUAAGUAUCCCACCUGGGGGAGUACGUUCGCAAGAAUGAAACUCAAAGGAAUUGACGGGGGCCCGCACAAGCGGUGGAGCAUGUGGUUUAAUUCGAUGAUACGCGAGGAACCUUACCAAGGCUUAAAUGUAGAUUGACCGGUUUGGAAACAGACUUUUCGCAAGACAAUUUACAAGGUGCUGCAUGGUUGUCGUCAGCUCGUGCCGUGAGGUGUCAGGUUAAGUCCUAUAACGAGCGCAACCCCUGUUGUUAGUUGCCAGCGAGUCAUGUCGGGAACUCUAGCAAGACUGCCAGUGUAAACUGUGAGGAAGGUGGGGAUGACGUCAAAUCAUCACGGCCCUUACGCCUUGGGCUACACACGUGCUACAAUGGCCGGUACAGAGAGCAGCCACUACGCAAGUAGGAGCGAAUCUAUAAAACCGGUCUCAGUUCGGAUCGGAGUCUGCAAC